rnacentral:rRNA from 1 species
UUAAGCGACUAAGCGUACACGGUGGAUGCCCUGGCAGUCAGAGGCGAUGAAGGACGUGCUAAUCUGCGAUAAGCGUCGGUAAGGUGAUAUGAACCGUUAUAACCGGCGAUUUCCGAAUGGGGAAACCCAGUGUGAUUCGUCACACUAUCAUUAACUGAAUCCAUAGGUUAAUGAGGCGAACCGGGGGAACUGAAACAUCUAAGUACCCCGAGGAAAAGAAAUCAACCGAGAUUCCCCCAGUAGCGGCGAGCGAACGGGGAGGAGCCCAGAGCCUGAAUCAGUGUGUGUGUUAGUGGAAGCGUCUGGAAAGGCGCGCGAUACAGGGUGACAGCCCCGUACACAAAAAUACACAUAUUGUGAGCUCGAUGAGUAGGGCGGGACACGUGGUAUCCUGUCUGAAUAUGGGGGGACCAUCCUCCAAGGCUAAAUACUCCUGACUGACCGAUAGUGAACCAGUACCGUGAGGGAAAGGCGAAAAGAACCCCGGCGAGGGGAGUGAAAAAGAACCUGAAACCGUGUACGUACAAGCAGUGGGAGCACGCUUAGGCGUGUGACUGCGUACCUUUUGUAUAAUGGGUCAGCGACUUAUAUUCUGUAGCAAGGUUAACCGAAUAGGGGAGCCGAAGGGAAACCGAGUCUUAACUGGGCGUUAAGUUGCAGGGUAUAGACCCGAAACCCGGUGAUCUAGCCAUGGGCAGGUUGAAGGUUGGGUAACACUAACUGGAGGACCGAACCGACUAAUGUUGAAAAAUUAGCGGAUGACUUGUGGCUGGGGGUGAAAGGCCAAUCAAACCGGGAGAUAGCUGGUUCUCCCCGAAAGCUAUUUAGGUAGCGCCUCGUGAAUUCAUCUCCGGGGGUAGAGCACUGUUUCGGCAAGGGGGUCAUCCCGACUUACCAACCCGAUGCAAACUGCGAAUACCGGAGAAUGUUAUCACGGGAGACACACGGCGGGUGCUAACGUCCGUCGUGAAGAGGGAAACAACCCAGACCGCCAGCUAAGGUCCCAAAGUCAUGGUUAAGUGGGAAACGAUGUGGGAAGGCCCAGACAGCCAGGAUGUUGGCUUAGAAGCAGCCAUCAUUUAAAGAAAGCGUAAUAGCUCACUGGUCGAGUCGGCCUGCGCGGAAGAUGUAACGGGGCUAAACCAUGCACCGAAGCUGCGGCAGCGACGCUUAUGCGUUGUUGGGUAGGGGAGCGUUCUGUAAGCCUGUGAAGGUGUGCUGUGAGGCAUGCUGGAGGUAUCAGAAGUGCGAAUGCUGACAUAAGUAACGAUAAAGCGGGUGAAAAGCCCGCUCGCCGGAAGACCAAGGGUUCCUGUCCAACGUUAAUCGGGGCAGGGUGAGUCGACCCCUAAGGCGAGGCCGAAAGGCGUAGUCGAUGGGAAACAGGUUAAUAUUCCUGUACUUGGUGUUACUGCGAAGGGGGGACGGAGAAGGCUAUGUUGGCCGGGCGACGGUUGUCCCGGUUUAAGCGUGUAGGCUGGUUUUCCAGGCAAAUCCGGAAAAUCAAGGCUGAGGCGUGAUGACGAGGCACUACGGUGCUGAAGCAACAAAUGCCCUGCUUCCAGGAAAAGCCUCUAAGCAUCAGGUAACAUCAAAUCGUACCCCAAACCGACACAGGUGGUCAGGUAGAGAAUACCAAGGCGCUUGAGAGAACUCGGGUGAAGGAACUAGGCAAAAUGGUGCCGUAACUUCGGGAGAAGGCACGCUGAUAUGUAGGUGAAGUCCCUCGCGGAUGGAGCUGAAAUCAGUCGAAGAUACCAGCUGGCUGCAACUGUUUAUUAAAAACACAGCACUGUGCAAACACGAAAGUGGACGUAUACGGUGUGACGCCUGCCCGGUGCCGGAAGGUUAAUUGAUGGGGUUAGCGCAAGCGAAGCUCUUGAUCGAAGCCCCGGUAAACGGCGGCCGUAACUAUAACGGUCCUAAGGUAGCGAAAUUCCUUGUCGGGUAAGUUCCGACCUGCACGAAUGGCGUAAUGAUGGCCAGGCUGUCUCCACCCGAGACUCAGUGAAAUUGAACUCGCUGUGAAGAUGCAGUGUACCCGCGGCAAGACGGAAAGACCCCGUGAACCUUUACUAUAGCUUGACACUGAACAUUGAGCCUUGAUGUGUAGGAUAGGUGGGAGGCUUAGAAGUGUGGACGCCAGUCUGCAUGGAGCCGACCUUGAAAUACCACCCUUUAAUGUUUGAUGUUCUAACGUUGACCCGUAAUCCGGGUUGCGGACAGUGUCUGGUGGGUAGUUUGACUGGGGCGGUCUCCUCCUAAAGAGUAACGGAGGAGCACGAAGGUUGGCUAAUCCUGGUCGGACAUCAGGAGGUUAGUGCAAUGGCAUAAGCCAGCUUGACUGCGAGCGUGACGGCGCGAGCAGGUGCGAAAGCAGGUCAUAGUGAUCCGGUGGUUCUGAAUGGAAGGGCCAUCGCUCAACGGAUAAAAGGUACUCCGGGGAUAACAGGCUGAUACCGCCCAAGAGUUCAUAUCGACGGCGGUGUUUGGCACCUCGAUGUCGGCUCAUCACAUCCUGGGGCUGAAGUAGGUCCCAAGGGUAUGGCUGUUCGCCAUUUAAAGUGGUACGCGAGCUGGGUUUAGAACGUCGUGAGACAGUUCGGUCCCUAUCUGCCGUGGGCGCUGGAGAACUGAGGGGGGCUGCUCCUAGUACGAGAGGACCGGAGUGGACGCAUCACUGGUGUUCGGGUUGUCAUGCCAAUGGCACUGCCCGGUAGCUAAAUGCGGAAGAGAUAAGUGCUGAAAGCAUCUAAGCACGAAACUUGCCCCGAGAUGAGUUCUCCCUGACCCUUUAAGGGUCCUGAAGGAACGUUGAAGACGACGACGUUGAUAGGCCGGGUGUGUAAGCGCAGCGAUGCGUUGAGCUAACCGGUACUAAUGAACCGUGAGGCUUAACCUU